rnacentral:rRNA from 1 species
AUUGAACGCUGGCGGCAGGCUUUACACAUGCAAGUCGAACGAGUGGCGGACGGGUGAGUAAUGUCUGGGAACCUGCCUGAUGGAGGGGGAUAACUACUGGAAACGGUAGCUAAUACCGCAUACCAUCAGAUGUGCCCAGAUGGGAUUAGCUAGUUGGUGGGGUAACGGCUCACCAAGGCGACGAUCCCUAGCUGGUCUGAGAGGAUGACCAGCCACACUGGAACUGAGACACGGUCCAGACUCCUACGGGAGGCAGCAGUGGGGAAUAUUGCACAAUGGGCGCAAGCCUGAUGCAGCCAUGCCGCGUGUAUGAAGAAGGCCUUCGGGUUGUAAAGCACUUUCAGCGGGGAGGCGUUACUCGCAGAAGAAGCACCGGCUAACUCCGUGCCAGCAGCCGCGGUAAUAC